rnacentral:rRNA from 1 species
CGACUUUCGGGUCUUUCCAUAAAAAAAAAAGAAUGUUUCCUGGUAGCACAUAGACGAAGUUAUUUUAGCUCUUUAAGGGGUAGAGAUCCACUGCCCCCCGACGUGCCCCCCUUAGAGCAGAGGUGGGGUGCGUCUAGCCCCCCCAUCGGUCGUCCCGUAACGACUCAUCAAUGGUGGUGGGUCGAUCACCGGUGGUAUUGGCCGGGGUAACCAUUUUUCGGCCGGCCAAUCCCGUGCCCAUAGAAAUGUAGCCAACGACUCCUAGACCAAGUUCCCUAUAUCGGGCAAAGAUCUCUUGGGGUGGCUUAUGCAUUGCUAUGGGCUCAAGCUUGGCUUGCCCGUCCGCACCCGUCACGUUUAGGGAUGCCUUGUGCAUCCUAAGUCAGCAACCACACAGCGCUUUGGCCUUGCCAAGCCCUUGCCCGCAUUCGAAGUUGCCCGUGAGCCCAGUACCAAGUCCCUUUAACGGCAGCGGCUCACUGGGGGGUGUAAGUUGAGAUUGUAGGCUCGGUCUUGGCUCGACCAAGUCCCAGUGAGAUUUUUCCCCUCGUAGUUCUCGUGCCAAGCGGUUGUGGUGCGUCCUCGUUCGUUGUUCCUUCCGCUCCCCUACCAUUCGAUUGGUUGGGUGGGCUGUUGGGCGGUGUGCACGGGCGCUACUAGUAGUACGCAAUAGGCAUCUGAGUGGUGUUUUGGUUUUGUGUAUUGGCAGGCUUCAUGCUAAUCGCAUCGAACUGUCAAGCCACACUCCUCUUAAUUAAUUCCCCUUGUUGUAAUUGAACCCAAGGGGUGGGAUCGGGAUCCUAUGUUGCGUACCAAAGCCAGAUGAAAUUAUGGAUAUGUUGCCGUCCCUUCUCCAUCUCGUGCCCUUCGGGGUGCGUGGUGGACCUCAAUCGUGCCUUGUGUCCCGAGUGCGCCCCCUUAAAUUGGCGUGGCCUCGUCGGUGUACUGGUUCUCAAUCGAGCUUUCGGAUUCGGAAAAUAUUUCUGAAAGUAGGGUUCAAGCCCUUAUCUCUCGAUCCUAUGCAUUUUCUCUCUUGACAAGGACGAUGCUCGUGCUCUGUUAUGACCUCUUCGUUGCUCAUGCGGCAUGUUGAGGGCCAUGCAGUGCCGACGUCGCGGAGGAAUGCUACCUGGUUGAUCCUGCCAGUAGUCAUAUGCUUGUCUCAGUUAUAGUCGGUCCUAAGAGAAGGGGGAAGCCCGUACGAUAGCACGUCCAGCGCGAGAUUCGAAAGGGUAUCGGAUUAAUAUUCCUGAACCGGGAUGCGGCGACUGACGGCAAUGUUAGGGAGUUCGGAGACGUAGGCGGGAGCUUCGGGAAGAGUUAUCCUUUCUGUUUAAUGGCCUACCCACCCUGGAAAUGGCUCAGCCAGAGGUAGGGUCCAGCGACCGAAAGAGCACCGCACUUCGCGUGGUGUCCGGUGCGCCCCCGGCGGCCUUGAAAAUUCGAAGGACCGAGCACCGUUCGCGCCCGGUCGUACUCAUAACCGCAUCAGGUCUCCAAGGUGAACAACCUCUGCUCAGUGGAACAUUGUAGGCAAGGGAAGUCGGUAAAAUGGAUCCGUAACCUUGGGAAAAGGAUUGGCUCUGAGGGCUGGCCACGGGGGUCCCAGUCCCGAACUCGUCUGCUACCGGUGCACUACUCGAGCUGCUCCGGCGGCAAGAGCGUAUCACCGCGUGCCGGCCGAGGGACGGACUGGGAACGGCUCCCUCCGGGGCCUUCCCCAGGUGACGAACAGUCGACUCAGAACUAGUACGGACAAGGGGAAUCCGACUGUUUAAUUAAAACAAAGCAUUGCGAUGGUCCCUACGGAUGCUCACGCAAUGUGAUUUCUGCCCAGUGCUUUGAAUGUCAAACUGAAUAAAUUCAACCAACCGCGGGUAAAUGGCGGGAGUAAUUAUAACUCUCUUAAGGCUGCCAAAUGCCUCAUCAUCUAAUUAUUGACGCGCAUGAAUGGAUUAAUUAGAUUCCCACUGUCCCUGUCUACUAUCCAGCGAAACCACAACCAAGGGAACGGGCUUGGCAGAAUCAGCGGGGAAAGAAGACCCUGUUGAGCUUGACUCUAGUCUGACUUUGUCAAAUGACUUGAGAGGUGUAGGAUAAGUGGGAGCUCUCGGGCAAAAUUGAAAUACCACUACUUUUAACGUUAUUUUACUUAUCCUGUGAAUCGGAGGAGGGGCACGGCCCCUCUUUUUAGACCCAAGGCCGGCUUCGGUCGGCCGAUCUGGGUGAAAGACAUUGUCAGGUGGGGAGUUUGGCUGGGGCGGCACAUCUGUUAAAAGAUAACGCAGGUAUCCUAAGAUGAGACUAACGAGAACAGAAAUCUUGUGUGAAACAAAAGGGUAAAAGCUCGUUUGAUUCUGAUUUCCUGUACGAAUACGAACCGUGAAACCGUGGCCUAUCGAUCCUUUAGACCUUCAGAAUUUGAAGCUAGAGGUGUCAGAAAAGUUACCAUAGGGAUAACUGGCUUGUGGCAGCCAAGCGUUUAUAGCGACGUUGCUUUUGAUCCAUCGAUGUCGGCUCUUCCUAUCAUUGUGAAGUAGAAUUCACCAAGUGUUGGAUUGUUCACUCACCAAUAGGGAACGUGAGUUGGGUUUAGACCAUCGUGAGAUAGGUUAGUUUUACCCUCCUGAUGGUCGCGUCGCAAUAGUAAUUCAGCCUAGUACAAGAGGAACCGUUGAUUCGCACAAUUGGUCAUCACGCUUGGUUGAAAAGCCUGUGGCACGAAGCUACCGUGCGCUGGAUUAUGACUGAACGCCUCUAAGUCAAAAUUUAGGAUAGAAGCGACGCACGCGCCCGUCGCCCAAUUGCCGACCUGCAGUAGGGGCCUCUGGCCCCCAAGGGCACGGGUCGUAGGUGCAGCGACGGCGGCGGACAAGUCGCGGGCGCCUCCCUAGAGCGUAAUUCCUACCGACCGGCGGGUAGAAUCCUUUGCAGAUGACUUAAAUACGCAACGGGGUAUUGUAAGUGGCAGAAUGGCCUUGCUGCCACGAUCCACUAAGAUUCAGCCCUUUGUCGCUUCGAUUCGU